GGGCGCUGUCCUAAGUCGCCGCCGCCGCUGCAACAUCUGAAAGUCCUUUUCUGCCGCAGGAGGAAGCGGCGCAGUUUGGAAGCCACGGCAGGGGCCGAGAGCGCUUCCGAACUGGGGCCCCGGGGGGCAGCGAAGGGAUGAAGUCAACAGAACUCCCACCUGGAGAGGGAGGUGCCCAGACGCUUGCUCCUUCCUGGAUGUUUGCUUCUACUGCCCCAAAUUGGCUGAGGAGAUUGCCACUCUCAAAGGCAAAGGCAGAGGUCCUUCAGUUUCACAGGGAUUGGGCCAUCUUCUACCUUCUGCAAGUGCAGACUGUCCAGGUGAGAGGAGGGAGGCAGAGGGGCUAGCAGCUGACCCCGCGCAGGGACAGAACCAAAAGUUGCAAACUGACGGCACCUACUGGCAAGACUGCAGAAGGACUGGAGAGUCACUGCUGGGGACACAAUUUCGGGAUGCUCCAUGGACAUCUCACAGACGACUGGGGUCUCUUCUGCCCCAUCUGUCUUGGCCCAAAGAGGGCCAGGCUCCUCCAUUCCUGGGGGAAGCCCAGCCUGUCCCCAAUUCAGAAAACUUCCCCCAGCUCUCCCAACUCCUUCAUCAUCAUGGGACCCAGUUCUGCCACCAACUCACUGUAUGAACUUGGACACCACCCCUUAGAGCUCGAACGUCCCUAACUAGAGUGGAGGUAGGUCAUCUCCACCUCGCCUACCUCUUAAAGCUCCUGUGAGAAUAAACCGGGACCAGGAAGAAUAGUU